GAGUUUGAUCAUGGCUCAGAUUGAACGCUGGCGGCAUGCCUUACACAUGCAAGUCGAACGGCAGCAUGAUCUAGCUUGCUAGAUUGAUGGCGAGUGGCGAACGGGUGAGUAAUACAUCGGAACGUGCCCUGUAGUGGGGGAUAACUAGUCGAAAGAUUAGCUAAUACCGCAUACGACCUGAGGGUGAAAGUGGGGGACCGCAAGGCCUCAUGCUAUAGGAGCGGCCGAUGUCUGAUUAGCUAGUUGGUGGGGUAAAGGCCCACCAAGGCGACGAUCAGUAGCUGGUCUGAGAGGACGAUCAGCCACACUGGGACUGAGACACGGCCCAGACUCCUACGGGAGGCAGCAGUGGGGAAUUUUGGACAAUGGGGGCAACCCUGAUCCAGCAAUGCCGCGUGUGUGAAGAAGGCCUUCGGGUUGUAAAGCACUUUUGUCCGGAAAGAAAUCGCACUUACUAAUAUUAGGUGUGGAUGACGGUACCGGAAGAAUAAGGACCGGCUAACUACGUGCCAGCAGCCGCGGUAAUACGUAGGGUCCAAGCGUUAAUCGGAAUUACUGGGCGUAAAGCGUGCGCAGGCGGUUGUGCAAGACCGAUGUGAAAUCCCCGGGCUUAACCUGGGAAUUGCAUUGGUGACUGCACGGCUAGAGUGUGUCAGAGGGGGGUAGAAUUCCACGUGUAGCAGUGAAAUGCGUAGAGAUGUGGAGGAAUACCGAUGGCGAAGGCAGCCCCCUGGGAUAACACUGACGCUCAUGCACGAAAGCGUGGGGAGCAAACAGGAUUAGAUACCCUGGUAGUCCACGCCCUAAACGAUGUCAACUAGUUGUUGGGGAUUCAUUUCCUUAGUAACGUAGCUAACGCGUGAAGUUGACCGCCUGGGGAGUACGGUCGCAAGAUUAAAACUCAAAGGAAUUGACGGGGACCCGCACAAGCGGUGGAUGAUGUGGAUUAAUUCGAUGCAACGCGAAAAACCUUACCUACCCUUGACAUGCCACUAACGAGGCAGAGAUGCAUUAGGUGCUCGAAAGAGAAAGUGGACACAGGUGCUGCAUGGCUGUCGUCAGCUCGUGUCGUGAGAUGUUGGGUUAAGUCCCGCAACGAGCGCAACCCUUGUCUCUAGUUGCUACGAAAGGGCACUCUAGAGAGACUGCCGGUGACAAACCGGAGGAAGGUGGGGAUGACGUCAAGUCCUCAUGGCCCUUAUGGGUAGGGCUUCACACGUCAUACAAUGGUGCAUACAGAGGGUUGCCAAGCCGCGAGGUGGAGCUAAUCCCAGAAAAUGCAUCGUAGUCCGGAUCGUAGUCUGCAACUCGACUACGUGAAGCUGGAAUCGCUAGUAAUCGCGGAUCAGCAUGCCGCGGUGAAUACGU
rnacentral:rRNA from 1 species